CGACGGUGAGUAACGCGUAUGCAACUUGCCUAUCAGAGGGGGAUAACCCGGCGAAAGUCGGACUAAUACCGCAUGAAGCAGGGAUCCCGCAUGGGAAUAUUUGCUAAAGAUUCAUCGCUGAUAGAUAGGCAUGCGUUCCAUUAGGCAGUUGGCGGGGUAACGGCCCACCAAACCGACGAUGGAUAGGGGUUCUGAGAGGAAGGUCCCCCACAUUGGUACUGAGACACGGACCAA
rnacentral:rRNA from 1 species